rnacentral:snoRNA from 1 species
UUUAAAUGAUGAACGAUAUAUUUGCUACUUCGGAUGAAACCUUUGAGUUUCGUAUGAGACAUAAUAAUUAUCACCAAGAUCUCUGAUAUU